rnacentral:rRNA from 1 species
UACGUAGGUGGCAAGCGUUGUCCGGAUUUACUGGGCGUAAAGAGCGCGCAGGCGGUCGUCCAAGUCGCGUGUGAAAGCCCCCGGCUCAACUGGGGAGGGUCACGCGAUACUGAUCGACUCGAAGGCAGGAGAGGGUAGUGGAAUUCCCGGUGUAGUGGUGAAAUGCGUAGAUAUCGGGAGGAACACCAGUGGCGAAGGCGACUACCUGGCCUGUUCUUGACGCUGAGGCGCGAAAGCUAGGGGAGCAAACGGGG